GGGGCUGAUAUAGCUUUCGACAAUUGGACCUUAUCAUGACAUUCUGCGAGCCGACGAUACGCGUAACGUAUAUUUUUAGAUGCAAACUUUGUUGCAAAAGCAAAGUCAUUCGUAGCGAGCGCUUUCGCUCCUAAGAUGGUCUUUGCGCCAAUCGCUGCCUAAUUUUUAGCGAUCAUCCUUGUAUUGUGGCAACAGUCAAUAUCUAAGGGUGUUAUAUCUAUGUUGCUAGCUAUAUAUUUGGAAGUAGCGGAUAUAUAGGACUUUUACUACGUAACGAGACUCGGUUUUCUUGGUUUAUUCUAAAUCCGAGUAGCGUUAUUAAAUAAAUUUAGAUAAGCCUAUGCUCGUAGACGGAUGUUGUGAUACCAGUUGGACCCGGGGGCAGUACCCGGCAGCUCCACCA
rnacentral:tmRNA from 1 species